rnacentral:snoRNA from 1 species
GCAUGAUAAUGGAUUUAUGACAGGAUCUUCUCUGUAUGCCUCUCAUAGUGUACCCAUGCCAGAGUAAACUGCAGCCUCAAACAAUUGCCUCCUUAACUGUAGGUUGUGAGCAUUGAAGGGAUUUCACAGUG